rnacentral:rRNA from 1 species
GACGAACGCUGGCGGCGUGCCUAAUACAUGCAAGUAGAACGCUGAAGGAGGAGCUUGCUUCUCUGGAUGAGUUGCGAACGGGUGAGUAACGCGUAGGUAACCUGCCUGGUAGCGGGGGAUAACUAUUGGAAACGAUAGCUAAUACCGCAUAAUAGUAGAUGUUGCAUGACAUUUGCUUAAAAGGUGCAAUUGCAUCACUACCAGAUGGACCUGCGUUGUAUUAGCUAGUUGGUGGGGUAACGGCUCACCAAGGCGACGAUACAUAGCCGACCUGAGAGGGGGAUCGGCCAGACUGGGACUGAGACACGGCACAGACUCCUACGGGAGGCAGCAGUAGGGAAUCUUCGGCAAUGGGCGGAAGUCUGAGCGAGCAACGCCGCGGGAGGGAAGAAGGUUUUCGGAUCGGAAAGCUCUGUUGUAAGAGAAGAACGAGUGUGAGAGUGGAAAGUUCACACUGUGACGGUAUCUGACCAGAAAGCGACGGCUAACUACGUG